GAUAAACGCUGGCGGCGUGCCUAAUACGUGCAAGUCGAGCGAACGGACGAGAAGCUUGCUUCUCUGAUGUUAGCGGCGGACGGGUGAGUAACACGUGGAUAACCUACCUAUAAGACUGGGAUAACUUCGGGAAACCGGAGCUAAUACCGGAUAAUAUUUUGAACCGCAUGGUUCAAAAGUGAAAGACGGUCUUGCUGUCACUUAUAGAUGGAUCCGCGCUGCAUUAGCUAGUUGGUAAGGUAACGGCUUACCAAGGCAACGAUGCAUAGCCGACCUGAGAGGGUGAUCGGCCAUACUGGAACUGAGACACGGUCCAGACUCCUACGGGAGGCAGCAGUAGGGAAUCUUCCGCAAUGGGCGAAAGCCUGACGGAGCAACGCCGCGUGAGUGAUGAAGGUCUUCGGAUCGUAAAACUCUGUUAUUAGGGAAGAACAUAUGUGUAAGUAACUGUGCACAUCUUGACGGUACCUAAUCAGAAAGCCACGGCUAACUACGUGCCAGCAGCCGCGGUAAUACGUAGGUGGCAAGCGUUAUCCGGAAUUAUUGGGCGUAAAGCGCGCGUAGGCGGUUUUUUAAGUCUGAUGUGAAAGCCCACGGCUCAACCGUGGAGGGUCAUUGGAAACUGGAAAACUUGAGUGCAGAAGAGGAAAGUGGAAUUCCAUGUGUAGCGGUGAAAUGCGCAGAGAUAUGGAGGAACACCAGUGGCGAAGGCGACUUUCUGGUCUGUAACUGACGCUGAUGUGCGAAAGCGUGGGGAUCAAACAGGAUUAGAUACCCUGGUAGUCCACGCCGUAAACGAUGAGUGCUAAGUGUUAGGGGGUUUCCGCCCCUUAGUGCUGCAGCUAACACAUUAAGCACUCCGCCUGGGGAGUACGACCGCAAGGUUGAAACUCAAAGGAAUUGACGGGGACCCGCACAAGCGGUGGAGCAUGUGGUUUAAUUCGAAGCAACGCGAAGAACCUUACCAAAUCUUGACAUCCUUUGACAACUCUAGAGAUAGAGCCUUCCCCUUCGGGGGACAAAGUGACAGGUGGUGCAUGGUUGUCGUCAGCUCGUGUCGUGAGAUGUUGGGUUAAGUCCCGCAACGAGCGCAACCCUUAAGCUUAGUUGCCAUCAUUAAGUUGGGCACUCUAAGUUGACUGCCGGUGACAAACCGGAGGAAGGUGGGGAUGACGUCAAAUCAUCAUGCCCCUUAUGAUUUGGGCUACACACGUGCUACAAUGGACAAUACAAAGGGCAGCGAAACCGCGAGGUCAAGCAAAUCCCAUAAAGUUGUUCUCAGUUCGGAUUGUAGUCUGCAACUCGACUACAUGAAGCUGGAAUCGCUAGUAAUCGUAGAUCAGCAUGCUACGGUGAAUACGUUCCCGGGUC
rnacentral:rRNA from 1 species